rnacentral:rRNA from 1 species
GGACUACUAGGGUUUCUAAUCCCGUUCGCUCCCCUGGCUUUCGCGCCUCAGCGUCAGAUGAGGUCCAGCGUGCCGCCUUCGCCACCGGAGUUCCUGUAGAUAUCAACGCAUUUCACCGCUCCACCUACAGUUCCGCACGCCCCUACCCCCCUCGAGGCCGCCAGUAUCCAUGGCACUUCCCCGGUUGAGCCGGAGGAUUUCACCACAGACUUGGCAGCCCGCCUACGCGCCCUUUAAGCCCAGUGAUUCCGAACAACGUUCGCUCGGUUCGUCUUACCGCGGCGGCUGGCAC